GAUGAACGCUAGCGGCAGGCUUAACACAUGCAAGUCGAGGGGUAACAGGGUUUAGUUUACUAGAUUGCUGACGACCGGCGCACGGGUGAGUAACGCGUAUACAAUUUGCCUUUUACUGGAGGAUAGCCAAGAGAAAUUUUGAUUAAUACUCCAUAGUAUUAUUUGAUCACCUGAUCGAUUAAUUAAAGUUCCGGCGGUAAAAGAUGAGUAUGCGUCCUAUUAGCUAGAUGGUAAGGUAACGGCUUACCAUGGCUACGAUAGGUAGGGGUCCUGAGAGGGAGAUCCCCCACACUGGUACUGAGACACGGACCAG
rnacentral:rRNA from 1 species